AUGGAGAGUGUCAAAGAGAAGAAGAAAAAGUUUCCUGCUGUACCAGAAACCCUUAAGAAAAAGCGAAGAAAUUUCACAGAGCUGAAGAUCAAAUGCCUGAGAAAGAAGUUUGCCCAAAAGAUGCUUCGAAAGGCAAGGAGGAAGCUUAUCUAUGAAAAAGCGAAGCACUAUCACAAGGAAUAUAGACAGAUAUACGGAACUUAAAUUUGAAUGGCAAGGAUGGCAAGCAAAGCCGGCAACUUCUAUGUACCUGCAGAACCCAAAUUGGCAUUUGUCAUCAGGAUCAGAGGUAUCAGUGGUGUGAGCCCAAAGGUCCGAAAGGUGUUGCAGCUUCUUCGCCUUCGUCAAAUCUUCAGUGGAAACUUUGUGAAGCUUAACAAGGUUUCAAUUAACAUGCUGGGGAUUGUAGAACCAUAUAUUGCAGGGGGUACCCAAAUCUGAAGUCAGUAAAUAAACUAAUCUACAAGCGGGGUUAUGGCAAAAUCAAUAAGAAGCGAAUUGCUUUGACAGAUAACGCUUUGAUUGCUCGAACGCUUGGUAAAUAUGGCAUCAUCUGCACGGAAGAUCUGAUUCAUGAGAUCUAUACUGUUGGAAAAUGCUUCGAAGAAGCAAAUAACUUCCUGUGGUCCUUCAAAUUAUCUUCUCCAUGAGGUGGAAAGAAGAAAAAGACCACCCAUUUUGUAGAAGGUGGAGAUGCUGGCAACAGGGAGGACCAGAUCAACAGCUUAUUAGAAUAAUGAAC
rnacentral:lncRNA from 1 species